ensembl:misc_RNA Metazoa_SRP Metazoan signal recognition particle RNA
GCCAGGUGCAGUGGCAGGUGCCUGCAGUCCCAGCUACUCAGGAGACUGAGGUGAGAGGAUCGCUUGAGCCCAGUUCUGGGCUGUAGUGCACUAUGCCAAUCGGGUGUCCACACUAAGUUUGGCAUCAAAAUGGUAAGCUCCCGGGAGCGGAGGACCACCAGACUGCCUAAGGAGGGGCAAACUGGCCCAGGAUGGAAACAGAGCAGUCAAAACUCCCAUGCUGAUCAGUAGUGGGAUCACACUUGUGAAUAACCACUGCAUUCCAGCCUGGGCAACACAGCGAGCAACCCGUCUCUU